UGCUUGUUCUUGCUUGAUGGAAUGAAGCUCUACCAUUUCUCUCUUUAGAUUUUCGUUUUGAAGGUUGAAUGCUUGAGUUUGAAGCUUCUUCUUUGCUUUUUCAUGGUGGUUUCUUUGGUGGAAGGGAGACCCAUUGUCCAUUUCGGUUUUCUCCUCAUUUUGCUGCAGUAAUCUCAUUUUUACUUUGAGUUUCUUGGAUUGGAGGAUGAAAAUGGAGUUUUUGUCAAGUUUGGUAGUGAAAAAGGCUUAAGUUGGUGCAUGGGUAUUGUAUUCUUGAGCCAUUUUCUUCUAGCAUUUUGUUUUUGAUGUUGGGAAACAAAUUUUGAGCUGGACUUUGUGCUUGAUGAUGGUGGUUGGACGGUAUUNCAUAGGAAGCAUAGGGGUUUGGUUUUGUUUGGGUCAAAAAGUUGAAGAAAAGUGUGUGUUGAAGUUGGAUUUAUGAAGUUAGAACUUGGUUUUAUUGUUCUUGAAUCAUUUUGCAAUUGAGCUUUGGCAUUUUGGGUGUGUGUCUCGGUUUUGGAGAUGGGAAGAAACAAUUUGAAAGCUUGGUUUUUGAAGAAAAACGAAAAUGGAGUGAAGAAGGAAGAGAGAAGGUGCUAUUAAUUUUUUACCCGAUUUGGCCAAGCACACAUGAAGCUACUUUUGACUAAGGGAAUAUUUCCUAUUUAAGCUUUGUCUUAAGCCUUGAUUCUGCCAAGAAUGGCUAAGGGAAUGGAGGUGUUUGUUGUUUGUUUUCUUUGGGUUUUGCUUACUUGGCACAUUAGAAGUAGCAUUUGAGGUUGAAUCCUUUUACCCUUUGGUUUGGAAGCAAUUUCUCUUUGUAGCCCUUUGCAUUGUUCACGUGAAUUAUGUGCCUUGGUGUGUUAAACCAUAAUUUUUGCUGCAUGAAAGAAGUGGUGGGACGGUUUUAGGUGAUGUGGAAGGCAUAUGUUUGUUGUCUUGAAGUAUGGAGCACAUGGAUAAGAAGUCAACCCACCUUCCAUGUUCAUUUAAGGAAGAAAAGUCAAAAUUGAAAUUGGAUCUCGGUGGACUAGGAGCUCACGGCCCAAGGGGGUUUCUCAAGCUAAUUACACUUUUAAUUUCAUUUGGUAGAUGAAUAUUGGCCACAUAAUUGAUAAAUGAAAAAGCAUGUUUAAUUAUCCCUUUGUUUUGCAUUAAUUUGCAUAGUAGGAUUAGUUGCAUUUGAUUCCUCUAAUUUAGUGUUGCAUUUUAAUAGUUUUAAUUGUGUUUAGAUAAUUGUUUGUUGAAAUGUUGGGUUUAGCACUUUAUUUUACCUUGAUGUUUUCUAACUUACACAGUUGAGUUUAAUGUCCAUUCAUUUUAAUUUAGUUAUUCGUAUUCACAAAAACACUUUUCAAACCCCCCCCCUUUCGUGUUAGACUUGACUCUAAACCGCAGUUGGUCCUUGAGAGACG
rnacentral:lncRNA from 1 species